rnacentral:tRNA from 1 species
GGAGGGUUCGUCUAGCAGGACAGGACACCACCCUUUCAAGGUGGAUACACGGGUUCGAUCCCCGUACCCUUCA